rnacentral:rRNA from 1 species
CUAGCAUAUCCAAUAUACGGCGGGGGGAAAAAGAAAUUUUUCAUCACGGGUGUUUCGAUAGUAUCUGUGAAGCGAGCGGGAGAAGCUCACAUUGAAUAAUCUGACAGUCUGCGAGCUGAUGCGACAUGUAGUCUGGAGAAGUGUUUGGCGCGCUGGACCGAGGUAUAAGUCUAUUGGAACAGAGUGUCAUAGAGGGUGAGAAUAUGCGUCCUUGGACCCGGACGUCCAAUACUUUGUGAUGCGCUCUCGAAGAGUCGAGCAGUUUGGGAAUGCAGCUCUUAAUGGAUUGUGAGAUUCCAUGUAAAGCUGAAUUAAGGCGAGAGACCGAUAGCGAUCAAGUACCGGUGAGGCGAGAGGAAAAACACUUUGGAAAGACAGUUAUACAGUCAGUGAAAUUCCUGAAAGGGAAGAGUGAGAAGUCAGUCGCGUCGUCCGGAGGGAAGCCUUGCUUUUCCGUGGUGCACUUUCCGGUUCGCUGGUCAGCAUCGAUCUUGACCGUCGGCAAAGGCAUCAAGUAAUGUGGCGCCAUCGCAUGGGUUAUAGGCUCUGGUCUCAUCUGCCGGGGGGGAUCGAGGCCUCCAGCGCCCCGUAAGCCAGCGGUUCGCCCACUUUCGCGCUUAGGAUGCUGGCAUAAUGAUUUUAAACCGCCCGUCUUGAAACACGGACCAAGGAGUCUAACAUCCAUGCGAGUGUUUGGGUGGAAAACCCGAGCGCGUAAUGAAAGUGAAAGUAGGGGCGCCUCCCGUAGGGGGCAUCAUCGACCGAUCCUGAUGUUUUCGGAUGGAUUCGAGUAAGAGCAUAUCUGUUGGGACCCGAAAGAUGGUGAACUAUGCCUGAAUAGGGUGAAGCCAGAGGAAACUCUGGUGGAGGCUCGUAGCGAUUCUGACGUGCAAAUCGAUCGUCAAAUUUGGGUAUAGGGGCGAAAGACUAAUCGAACCAUCCAGCGAGCUC